GUGCUCGCGCCUACGCUGGUUAAAACGGUCAUCCCGCUGAGCUCGAGCGAGUCACUUGAGUCCCAGUCAUCGAGCGGAGGAGGGAGAGCAUGAUUCAGUCCGCACAUAAACUACCGGAGCCUGCGUCCGUCACACCGCCUGUUUUUGUUUUAUAUUACGAGGAACACGGAGCUCAGAGCACAACCUGGAUGUGAACGUGCAGGAAGCGGCCGGUGUGUUUAAACGGAUCACGGGAUUCACAUGAGGCGCACGCGGACAUCGUUUGCACCAAACUGUGACCAGAUAAAAGCAGUGGAUGACGCUACACUCCAUUUGUAGACGAAAGGUGGAAGCGUGGGAGAGGUUCUGAAGAGGACUAGCUGACCAGCAGCAGUUACACAGCCACUAAAACCUCCUCCAGACCCAGCCAAAAACGCACCAUGUCUCUCAACACUUUCCACCUCAUGCAGACCCUUAAGAAUUCCCCUGCCGCCUUACGUCACCGCUUUCGCCGCGACCGCACAGAGUCUUUGUCCCAUGGUGAUCCUCUUUUCAAAGUCCACUACCUGGGUACAGAGAAGAUCUUCUCUCUGGAUCGAGAGCAGGCACAGGAUGCUAUUGACCGCUUGCUAGAAGGUAUUGCUAAUGAGAAAAAGCUGAGCAAAGAUCACGCUCUGGUGGUGCGUCCAAGAUACGUCGAGGUCAAGGAGAUAAGUACAGGACGGCAGCUCACUAAGACAUUCCUGCAGGACAUUGCAUACUGUGCUGCUGAUGCCAACCGGCCAAAUGUAUUCCUGUACAUCUGCAAACAUCAUGGACAGCAGCUGCAGUGUCGGGUGUUCUGGUGCAGCCGGGCAGAGAGGGCACGAGACAUGACUGCUUGUCUCGCUCAUUCCUUCCAGCGGGCGUUGAGCGACUGGCAGCAGGACGGCUCAGCCACGCUGAAGCCAGAGGUGAAGGGGAAACAUGCGGAGGAGACAUCCAACUCUCCUGCCAACACAAAGAACUCGACUCUGCCUGCCAGUCUGGGAAAAGGGCCCAAUGGAAAAAUGGUUGUUGUUCCAGAACUUUUUUAACUUUCCAACUUCAUUGCCCUUAUCGUGCUCUCCGCUCUGGGUCUCUAAGUUUAAAAAGGGAAGACUUCUAAAGUUCGCUGGAAGAAGAGGGGCUCAGUAUCUCACAGCCCCCUCAAAGCCAUCAUCAGAAGAGGAUCGUCCUCCGACAGCUGGAACUGAAACCUGGCUUUCUUUAGUCCUUCAUGGAACCACAUUAACCUGAUGACAACAUCAGAUGACAGCACUGGAGGGAGGGAGGAAGGGAAGGAGGGAGGGAGGGAGGAGAUGGGUACAAGAGGGAAGGAAGGACAAAGGGUUUGAAAUUGGGAAGUGGGGAACAUCCAUAUUUGGCCAUAUGGGGACUCUGCUUGUGAGAUGAUGUUGCUGAAAUCUGUGUGUGUGUGAGAGAACUUGAAGGUUUUUUACGCAGCGAAGUUGUCUGCUGACUUUUUAGCAGCUGCUUUUGUUCGACUGUCAACAGCUGUGAGGACUUGUGACUGGCUGUGAGUCAUUGAAGGACAUGACUAGUUCAUUUACGUGGCUCUUCUUUGGUCAGCUUACUUGUUUUAAAGGUGUCUACUAGAUCCUUAAGCCACCAAAGAGUGUGGUCUUCUGGAAAGAGACAGUUGUGAUGAUCUGUAGGCAAACUGGAAAAAGACGAUGAGAGUUCUGACUUUCGAAGAUGGUUUUUAUUUAACUGAUAUUUGUGGUCAUGAAUUUCUUUUACCCUGCGGCACUACCAAGCAUGUUUCCCUUUUUUAUUUCUGAAAAGGAUGGACCAAAACACAGUUCAGGUCCUGUUAAUACCAGUU